AUAUCAAUAAGCGGAGGAAAAGAAACUAACAAGGAUUCCCCUAGUAACUGCGAGUGAAGCGGGAAAAGCUCAAAUUUGAAAUCUGGCAGCUCUUUGAACUGUCCGAGUUGUAAUCUAGAGAAGUGUUACCUGUGCUGGACCGUGUACAAGUCUCCUGGAAUGGAGCGUCACAGAGGGUGAGAAUCCCGUCUUUGACACGGACUGCCUGCAUGUUAUGGUGCGCUCUCAAAGAGUCGAGUUGUUUGGGAAUGCAGCUCAAAAUGGGUGGUAAAUGCCAUCUAAAGCUAAAUAUUGGCGAGAGACCGAUAGCGAACAAGUACCGUGAGGGAAAGAUGAAAAGAACUUUGGAAAGAGAGUUAAACAGUAC
rnacentral:rRNA from 1 species